rnacentral:rRNA from 1 species
CAGCAGCCGCGGUAAUACGUAGGUCCCGAGCGUUGUCCGGAUUUAUUGGGCGUAAAGCGAGCGCAGGCGGUUAGAUAAGUCUGAAGUUAAAGGCUGUGGCUUAACCAUAGUACGCUUUGGAAACUGUUUAACUUGAGUGCAGAAGGGGAGAGUGGAAUUCCAUGUGUAGCGGUGAAAUGCGUAGAUAUAUGGAGGAACACCGGUGGCGAAAGCGGCUCUCUGGUCUGUAACUGACGCUGAGGCUCGAAAGCGUGGGGAGCGAACAGGAUUAGAUACCCCCGUAGUCCCUGUCUCUUAUACA